CCCCCAACCAGUACUGGACAACUUAGGGAGUUGUCAAAGUACAGUAGAGUCUCACUUAUCCAACAUUCGCUUAUUCAACAUUCUGGAUUAUCCAACGCAUUUUUGUAGUCAAUGUUUUCAAUAUAUCAUGAUAUUUUGGUGCUAAAUUCGUAAAUACAGUAAUUACCACAUAGCAUUACUGCGUAUUGAACUACUUUUUCUGUCAAAUUUGUUGUGUAACAUGAUGUUUUGGUGCUUAAUUUGUAAAAUCAUAACCUAAUUUGAUGUUUAAUAGGCUUUUCCUUAAUCCCUCCUUAUUAUCCAACAUAUUCGCUUAUCCAACGUUCUGCUGACCCGUUUAUGUUGCAUAAGUGAGACUCUACUGUAGUACCUUUUUCAAGUUUUGGCCCAGUUGAUGGCCCAUCAGUAGAUCUCUUUUGUGAUGGUUACUGCAUUCUAUUCCGUAAUAAUAUCAGCAUCUAUUGCGUUCAAGACAGGCUAAUGACCUCACCUUGGAUAAGUGAGACUCUACUGUAUAUAUAUUCUUUGGAACUGAAGCUCCUCAGUACAUGAGCAACAGGCUUUUCCUUUCAAGCAACAGAGUACUUGAUAAUCAUGAGUAUCUUUAAAAACAUGGGUCUCAGAGGAAAAAAAAAUCACAUACCUUCUCAGGAAUAUGGUGGUGCUUAAAAUAGUUCCAGAAGGAAAACCUGUGGGGCUCCAUUUUCUAAACCACUACAAGAUUAUAAAAUAAAACACGUUGUACAUAUGCUGGAAAAUGCUAUCCCAUCCAACUGAACUGCACAGUAGAACUCAUAAUAUAUCCUGGAAAAAGCGUGAUGUGGUGUUAAAUGUAUUCCCCUAACCACCUUUAAAUAAUUGUGUCAAAAAAGGCAACAGCUGGUUUUGAUUCAAUGUGGAAGUGGCUCUAAAUGAGAGCUUUUCCAGGUAUUAUUCCCCAAUGAAGACCCAGAACAAUUUUCAGCAAUAAAACUGAUUCUUGCCAGUCUGUGGGAACCAGUCAAGAGAAAGAAGGUAUGUAUUGAAUCGUAUUUCUGGUUUUGUGCCUUUAUAACUUUGUCAAAUAAGGACUAGUGAGGAUCUUAGGAAUGGUAUUUUAGAAUGCAGAGCUCCAUGAGAGUUCCUGGCUAUCACGGGUGCAUUGUGCUGACAUCAGCAAAGACACCAACCCAACCAAGAGAAAAAAGGUUCCAGAGAUAGAAAUAUCAUGGAAAA
rnacentral:lncRNA from 1 species